CAAUAAGCGGAGGAAAAGAAACUAACAAGGAUUCCCCUUAGUAACUGCGAAGUGAAGCGGGAAAAGCUCAAAUUUAAAAUCUGGUGGUCUUUGGCCAUCCGAGUUGUAAUCUAGAGAAGUGUUACCCGCGUCGGACCGUGUACAAGUCUCCUGGAAUGGAGCGUCAUAGAGGGUGAGAAUCCCGUCUUUGACACGGACCCCCGAGGCUUUGUGGUGCGCUCUCAACGAGUCGAGUUGUUUGGGAAUGCAGCUCAAAAUGGGUGGUAAAUUCCAUCUAAAGCUAAAUAUUGGCGAGAGACCGAUAGCGAACAAGUACCGUGAGGGAAAGAUGAAAAGAACUUUGGAAAGAGAGUUAAACAGUACGUGAAAUUGCUGAAAGGGAAACGCUUGAAGUCAGUCGCGUUGUCCGGAAAUCAGCCUUCCUUUUGGUUGGUGUACUUUCUGGUUGACGGGCCAGCAUCAGUUUUGACCGGUGGAUAAAGUUGUAGGGAAUGUGGCAUCUUCGGGUGUGUUAUAGCCCUGCUUCGUAUACAUCGGUUGGGACUGAGGAACUCAGCACGCCGCAAGGCCGGGAUUCGUCCACGUUCGUGCUUAGGAUGCUGGCAUAAUGGCUUUAAUCGACCCGUCUUGAAACACGGACCAAGGAGUCUAACAUGCCUGCGAGUGUUUGGGUGGAAAACCCGAGCGCGUAAUGAAAGUGAAAGUCGAGAUCCUUGUCAUGGGGAGCAUCGACGCCCGGACCUGAAGUUUACGGACGGUUCUGCGGUAGAGCAUGUAUGUUGGGACCCGAAAGAUGGUGAACUAUGCCUGAAUAGGGUGAAGCCAGAGGAAACUCUGGUGGAGGCUCGUAGCGAUUCUGACGUGCAAAUCGAUCGUCAAAUUUGGGUAUAGGGGCGAAAGACUAAUCGAACCAUCUAGUAGCUGGUCUGC
rnacentral:rRNA from 1 species